ACGCACGCUGGCGGCGUGCUUAACACAUGCAAGUCGAACGGAAAGGCCCUGCUUUUGUGGGGUGCUCGAGUGGCGAACGGGUGAGUAACACGUGAGUAACCUGCCCUUGACUUUGGGAUAACUUCAGGAAACUGGGGCUAAUACCGGAUAGGAGCUCCUGCUGCAUGGUGGGGGUUGGAAAGUUUCGGCGGUUGGGGAUGGACUCGCGGCUUAUCAGCUUGUUGGUGGGGUAGUGGCUUACCAAGGCUUUGACGGGUAGCCGGCCUGAGAGGGUGACCGGCCACAUUGGGACUGAGAUACGGCCCAGACUCCUACGGGAGGCAGCAGUGGGGAAUAUUGCACAAUGGGCGGAAGCCUGAUGCAGCAACGCCGCGUGCGGGAUGACGGCCUUCGGGUUGUAAACCGCUUUCGCCUGUGACGAAGCGUGAGUGACGGUAAUGGGUAAAGAAGCACCGGCUAACUAC
rnacentral:rRNA from 1 species